UACGUAGGGGGCAAGCGUUGUCCGGAUUUACUGGGUGUAAAGGGUGCGCAGGCGGACUUAUAAGUCAGUGGUGAAAUCCCCCGGCUCAACCGGGGAACGGGCACCGAUACGGGCGGCCUCGAGGGGGGUAGGGGGGCCUGGAACUUCCGGUGGAGCGGUGAAAUGCGUUGAGAUCGGAAGGAACGCCCGUGGCGAAAGCGAGGCCCUGGACCCUUACUGACGCUGAGACGCGAAAGCCAGGGGAGCGAACGGG
rnacentral:rRNA from 1 species